rnacentral:rRNA from 1 species
UUUCCUACGGGACGCAGCAGUAGGGAAUUUUCGCCAAUGGGCGCAAGCCUGAACGAGCAAUGCCGCGUGAACGAGGAAGGUCUUCGGAUCGUAAAGUUCUGUUGAAGGGGAGAAAGAGCGGAGAGAGGAAAUGGUCUCCGAUUGAUAUUACCCUUCGAGGAAGUCACGGCUAACUACGUGCCAGCAGCCGCGGUAAUACGUAGGUGGCGAGCGUUAUCUGGAAUGAUUGGGCGUAAAGGGUGCGUAGGCGGCCUGCUAAGUCUGGAUCGAAAGGUACCGGCUCAACCGGUACAGG